AUUCUACUCCCUCCAUUGCACAAUACAUGCCUUCUAUUUGUCAAAAUAUAUAUGUAUCUAGACAUGUUUUAGUAUAUAGGUACAUCCAUUUUUGGACAAAUGGAAGUCAAGUAUUUUGGGACAAAGGGAGUACACA
rnacentral:pre_miRNA from 1 species